AGCAGCCGCGGUAAUUCCAGCUCCAAUAGCGUAUAUUAAAGUUGUUGCAGUUAAAAAGCUCGUAGUUGAAUUUCGGGAUUAGUACGUUGGUCGUGCCUUCGGUACGUACUGGUGUUACUGAUUCCUACCUUCUGACGAACCAUCAUGUCGUUAAUUUGGUGUGGCGGGGAAUCAGGACUGUUACUUUGAAAAAAUUAGAGUGUUUAAAGCAGGCUCGCGCUUGAAUACAUUAGCAUGGAAUAAUGAAAUAGGACGUUGACCCUAUUUUGUUGGUCUCUAGGAUUGACGUAAUGAUUAAUAGGGAUAGUUGGGGGCAUUAGUAUUCAAUUGUCAGAGGUGAAAUUCUUGGAUUUAUUGAAGACUAACUACUGCGAAAGCAUUUGCCAAGGAUGUUUUCAUUAAUCAAGAACGAAAGUUAGGGGAUCGAAGACGAUCAGAUACCGUCGUAGUCUUAACCAUAAACUAUGCCGACUAGGGAUCGGAUGAUGUUAUUUUUAAUGACUCA
rnacentral:rRNA from 1 species